CCUACGGGUGGCAGCAGUGAGGAAUAUUGGUCAAUGGACGAGAGUCUGAACCAGCCAAGUAGCGUGAAGGAUGACUGCUCUAUGGGUUGUAAACUUCUUUUAUAUGGGAAUAAAAUGUUCCACGUGUGGGAUUUUGUAUGUACCAUAUGAAUAAGGAUCGGCUAACUCCGUGCCAGCAGCCGCGGUAAUACGGAGGAUCCGAGCGUUAUCCGGAUUUAUUGGGUUUAAAGGGAGCGUAGGUGGAUUGUUAAGUAAGUUGUAAAAGUUUGCGGCUCAACCGUAAAAUUGCAGUUGAAACUGGCAGUCUGGAUUAAAGUAGAGGUGGGGGAAAUUGGUGGUGUGGCGGUAAAAUGCUU
rnacentral:rRNA from 1 species